UACGGGGGGGGCAAGCGUUGUUCGGAAUUACUGGGCGUAAAGGGCUCGUAGGCGGCCAACUAAGUCAGACGUGAAAUCCCCAGGCUCAACCUGGGAACUGCGUCUGAUACUGGAUGGCUUGAAUCCGGGAGAGGGAUGCAGAAUUCCAGGUGUAGCGGUGAAAUGCGUAGAUAUCUGGAGGAAUACCGGUGGCGAAGGCGGCAUUCUGGACCGACAUUGACGCUGAGGAGCGAAAGCCAGGGGAGCAAACGGG
rnacentral:rRNA from 1 species